rnacentral:rRNA from 1 species
CCUACGGGUGGCUGCAGUGAGGAAUAUUGGUCAAUGGCCGCGAGCCUGAACCAGCCAAGCCGCGUGAGGGACGACGGUCCCAAGCAUUGUAAACCUCUUUUGUCGAGGGACAAAAGCCGCCACGCGUGCCGUACCGAGAGUACCCGAAGAAAAAGCAUCGGCUAACUCCGUGCCAGCAGCCGCGGUAAUACGGAGGAUGCGAGCGUUAUCCGGAUUUAUUGGGUUUAAAGGGUGCGCAGGCGGUGUUUUAAGUCAGCGGUCAAAUCGUGGGGCUCAACCCCGUCCAGCCGUUGAAACUGGGAGUCUAGAGGUUGAGAGAGGUAUGCGGAAUGCGCGGUGUAGCGGUGAAAUGCAUAGAUAGCGCGCAGAACCCCGAUUGCGAAGGCAGCAUGCCGGUGCAAAACUGACGCUGAGGCACGAAAGCGUGGGUAUCGAACAGGAUUAGAUACCCGAGUAGUC